rfam:Desulfotomaculum gibsoniae DSM 7213, complete genome.
AAAUCACGGUUGAAACAAGAUUUGUCAUGAGAAGUCAGCCGAGGCCAUAGUACCCGAUGAAGUCUACGUCACCGGGGAAGGGC